GGGGAUAUAGCUUGAUGGAAAAGUGCAUGCCUAGCAUGCAAGAGGCCCUGAGUUCAAUUCCCAGUGUCUCAA
rnacentral:tRNA from 1 species